GCAAGAUUAAAACUCAAAGGAAUAGACGGGGACCCGCACAAGCGGUGGAGCAUGUGGUUUAAUUCGACGAUACGCGAAGAACCUUACCUGGCCUUGACAUAGAAAGAACUUUCCAGAGACGGAUUGGUGCUAGUUUACUAGAGCUUUCAUACAGGUGCUGCACGGCUGUCGUCAGCUCGUGUCGUGAGAUGUUGGGUUAAGUCCCGCAACGAGCGCAACCCUCGUGUUUAGUUACUAACAGUUCGGCUGAGGACUCUAGACAGACUGCCUGGGUAACCAGGAGGAAGGUGAGGACGACGUCAAGUCAUCAUGGCCCUUACGGCCAGGGCUACACACGUGCUACAAUGGGGUAUACAAAGAGCCGCAAUACCGCGAGGUGGAGCAAAUCUCAUAAAAUAUCUCCCAGUUCGGAUAGCAGUCUGCAACUCGACUGCUUGAAGUUGGAAUCGCUAGUAAUCGUGAAUCAGCAACGUCACGGUGAAUACGUUCCCGGGUCUUGUACUCACCGCCCGUCACACCAUGGGAAUUGAAUUCAUUCGAAGCGGGGAUGCUAAAAUAGCUACCUUCCACAGUGGAUUUAGUGACUAGGGUGAAGUCGUAACAAGGUA
rnacentral:rRNA from 1 species